GUGAAUCAUCGAAUCUUUGAACGCAAAUUGCACUCUCUGGCAUCCCGGAGAGUAUGCCUGUUUGAGGGUCAGUUUAAUAAAAAUCGGCGUGUCGCUUUCGGGUUGCACCGGAGGUUGGGUGUUCUUAUCUUUCGUAUAAGAGUCUUAAAAUGGAUAUAUUUUUUGCGUGCUUUUUGAAGUACAUAAUUUUUUUAUUCGUUUAUUCCGUUACCAAAAUUUACU
rnacentral:misc_RNA from 1 species